AACAAAUCCCCCUGAGUCCAUUGUAAAUGAAGCAGAAAGAAUUGUGGCCAGGGCUAGCCGGAAUAACAUUUCCUCUGCACACAAGAUCAUAUCAUCCUGCCCACCAAGCUUGGGAAGACAUUACUCAGCCUUCAGUUCAACUAUAACUUAUUUCAUUUCAAGUACCAAGAUAAUACUUCUUAAGUGGCAACAGGACACAGAUAUUUUUCCCCUGUUCCUCUUUGACAACUCCAUGGAUUGCCAUCAGGCCAUCAGGAUACAAUUUUGUGGCUCUACUCCCAGAAGUUUGAGGUGUUUUUUCCUUAAUGGAUAUGUGGGAGAUAAGUCUUGUCUGAAUUUCACAGUAGGUCCCAAAACUCUAUCCUCAUAUUCAAGAAAAAGACUUUUGGAGAUAAUCAGAAAAAUAUCUAGGUUUAAACUCUGAAUCGGAUCCAUCAAGGACUAUCAUAAAAAAUAAGAGCACUACAAAUUUGUUUGCAAUCGUAUCAGGAGUUGACUUCUACUCUUAUUUUUCCCUGGAGGUGUACAGAAUUCUGAGUUUAGUCAUGCCAAACAAGACAUCAGAGAAUUCCUCCUUUUAUGACUUACAGAUUACGCAGUUACAAGCUGUGAUAUUCUUCUUUAUGUUGUUCACCUACUUUUUGAGUGUAAUUGGAAACAGGACCAUUGUCAUGUUAAAACACUAUCUAAUGUUUAUUUGAAGACUCCCAUGU
rnacentral:lncRNA from 1 species